CUUUUCAUCUAUUUUUUCUAAAACUUUUGAUCCAAAUAGUGGAUGAAGGUCAUCCAUCUCUCCAACUCCAUCCAUCCUUCCUCUUAUAAUUCCAACCAAACAUAGAGUUCGUAAGCUAAGGGAGUUAGAAAAUGAUGAUAAUGAUUUAUUUUAUGAAUAUAUUGAUAGAGAUAUUAUCAACAAAGAAAUGAGAAUUUGGAUAGAGCAUUCUAGACUCUAUGUAGAUGUAGAUUUUCUUAGAGAUGAGCGGUCUAUGGGG
rnacentral:lncRNA from 1 species